CGUUGUCGUGGGCUUCAGUUGUGUCCAAGGGCCAAGUGCGGAAUCAUUUUGUUGCGGCUACUCGACGUACUAGUGCAUCCUGCCACCAGCUACACGUGCUACAUCCUGCUGCGGACUACGAGCUACUACGACUAGGACUAUCGUGUGUCGGUUGUGCGUCUUGCCUCGUGGCUUACGCUCAAUUUAAUCAGUGAUUAAGAUGUUGCCCCAGCCGCUAAUCGGAUGUGGCAUUCGAGCAAGUGUCAUCUGAAUAAAGUUUCUGUAUCUUGUAAAACACCAACAACACCACAAAUAACCACAACAACAACAGAAAGAAACAAGAAAGAGCCACAAGUUCAAGUAUAUCCACAGAUAUUUCGCUCCUAGUCCACAUAUGCAUGUAUAUUUGUGCGGCUCCCUGUGUGUCCUGUGCGUAUCCGUGUGUGUAUCUGUGUGUAUAAUGCGUAUGUAAUCCAAGCAAAUCUGUCACGUGUUUCGGAUAUCUUUUUUGGGAAGCCCGGAGCUGAGGCCAAAGGAAUUUAUUGAAAAAAGAUAAACCCCCAAACCUAAAGAAGAGACAGAUGUUGCUUUUCGCGGCGGCGGAGCAGCCCCAUAACAUGGCCAAGAGCCAGCGUUUAUUUAUGGCCCAAAGAGGAGAAAUCACAUUAGAUGCAAACUGCCUGUCGAAAUGAACAACGAAAAGAAAUAUUAAAUAAAAACUAGCGCCAUAAAAUUGCCCAUAAAACAACAGGGAAAACCCAAGCCAAACCGUCCGCAAAUAUCAAAAAAUAUAUAAAAAUAAAACGAAGAAAAGAGCACGAGAGCGAAACUAUUAUUUGACAAACUGUCAGCGGAGCUCAGUCGAAGGUGAAAUUUGUGAACGUUGGCGAAAUUCUCGAGUGAAAUCUCUGCUGUUUAUGCCCGUUGCGUAUACGCCGCGUUGCCAGGCGCUGUUCCGCUGUUUCAGCAGUAUAUAUUCUCCGCAUCUCGCGGGCGGAGGUGUUAAAUGCGUUCACAUAUCUCUGGUGCGGCCCGGGCCGCCUUCUGCUCUCCACCAACAACCACAUCCGCCGCCAUCCGCCUGUGAAAGUGCCGAGCUGUGCAUUAUUUCCGCGUAAGUGAACAUUUUUGCCCCCGUCCCCAGGAGACUACUCCCCCCCAUACGAGUGUGUUGACUCUGCCGCUGAACGGCAUGCGCCUCUGGAGGAAUCGUCGAAGUCGCAGCAAAAUGCAUACCCUCGAAACGGGGCCCUGGUCCGUCCAUGGGCCACAGUUGACGCAGCUGCUCCUUGGCGGGAUACUCUGCAUGACAAUUGCCUCGAACACACAGACGUCCGCAGAGGCCACAGGAGCGCAGGAGACAGGAGCAGCAUCAGCAGCCACCGUCAUCAGUUUCGAUGGGAGCAGCGACCCAUCAUCAGCCUCAUCCUCAUCCGCAUACUCGGCGACCGCAUUAUCCAGCCUUGCUCAAGUGUCCUCGCUGCUGCCGGAGGCGGCCGCCCUGUCGGCGACAGCAGCCCUGGUGGAACCAUAUCUGGAUGGAUAUGCCACCUCCAAUGUGACCACUCAGAUCGGUACACACGCGUAUCUCCCUUGUCGGGUCAAACAACUGGGCAACAAAUCUGUUUCCUGGAUUCGACUGCGCGAUGGACACAUCUUGACCGUUGACAGGGCGGUGUUUAUAGCCGAUCAGCGUUUUCUGGCCAUCAAGCAGCCGGACAAGUACUGGACGCUGCAGAUAAAAUAUGUACAGGCCCGUGAUGCCGGGUCGUACGAGUGCCAGGUCUCCACAGAGCCCAAAGUCAGUGCGCGUGUCCAGCUGCAAGUUGUGGUGCCCCGCACGGAGAUACUGGGCGAACCAGAUCGCUACGUGAAGGCUGGCAGCAAUGUCGUCCUACGCUGUAUUGUCCGUGGCGCCUUGGAGCCGCCCACCUUCAUCAUGUGGUACCAUGGGGCCGAGCAACUGGCAGCGGACUCGCGACGCCAUCGCACGCAAUUGGAUCCCAAUCUACCGGAGGCCACUGGCGAGGGACAGAGCACGAUUGGCUCAUUAAUCAUCGAGUCGGCCAAGAAGCGCGAUACUGGCAAUUACACAUGUAGCCCGUCGAAUAGCCCCAGUGCGACCGUAACACUGAACAUAAUAAAUGGUGAAUCAUCUGCCUCGGCGGUCACCUCAUCGGCAGCCACCACACGGGCCUAUGCCCUAAGCAUCCUCGCCCUGCUGCUCAGCGUCAUCCUCAUCGGUGUGGGCCAUCGGACAUGACAUGUCAACGGAGAGAGGCCAAACUAAGGAGUGAAUCCAGAACUCUGCCAAUAUGAAAAAACCAACCCCAAUUUGAUAAGCAUUAAAAAGCAGAAUGAAGUGAAAGGAAAUUAAAUCAGAUAAAUACACAUAAUAAUCGAGUGCAUGUUGUAAGCUAGUUGAUUUUAUCUACUGACUAAUAACUCAAGAAACGUAGGGAAGGAAGGAUAAAUCCGUAAAUCCCUGGACACACACACACACACCGUCUCUCUCCCUCUCUCCCACUCUCUCUCUAUCUAGACAUUGCAGCUAAUUGUAAGUUCUACGAGCUCUAAGCGAAAACUAGUCCGUAAGCACCAGCCCCCACAAAUCCACAAAUCUCCCACUAGUCUUAGGCCUGAUUUCUAUCAUAAAUUUUAUUUUUUGGGUUUUGUCGGUUCGGUUUUCCUUUUGUUUGGCUUUCGCAUAAACGCAUAGCCGUAAAUAUUUAUGCACUUCGAUGUGCAAUUGCAUCGAUAUCCUGAAUCUGAAUGCAUUCAGUGUGCAGGAAUUUCGAGCAUUAUUUUUCGGUAAAAAAUUCAAACCCGAAUUGCAGUUUCUGUUGCAAUGUGGCCACAUGCUGCACCUUUCGAUUGGCCAUUUGUAUCUCCUGCUGCUUUCUCUCUGUCUAGAUGGUGAUAUUUAAUAUUUUUAGUAUUUUCUAGCAAAUACUCUGACACUUGACCUCGUUUCGGGCAACAUCCUUUGCCAAUAAAUUUCAUAAAAAUUCUCAAAUCGAUGUGUAGACGGAGAGUAAGCCCGUCCCGAUGUAGAUCGAAUUUCAAUAUUCAUUUAAUUUGUGUACUUAAAAGAAAAUAGAGAAAUUCAUGUUUGAUAUUUGUGUGACAUUUGCAAACAAUUUACAUGGCGAAAAUUUAUGAAACUCUAUUUUAUGUGCUCUUAUCUCACGAACAUGCUCCAAACAUGCGCGAAAAAGCCAAAAAAAAAUAAAAAAUCAUAAAAUAUAAAUAAAACAGAAAAUUAUAGCAAAUACAUUCAUUGAUCGAACAUAACAGAAACGAAAAAUGCGACAUAAAGCUGCAUAAAACAAACAAUUUAAAUGAUAGCGAAGCGAAAGUAAAUUUAUUGGAUUGGAUUGAAGGGAGAAGAGAACAGAACAGAAAACAGAACGAACUGACUCGCGCGCACUGUAUAUAACUCUAUUGCGAGAAUUGUUCGACAGAAAAAUGUAAAUUAAUUGAAUACACAAACCAAACCAGAGACGUAUUCCAAAUACUAAUGAAUUGCAUUUAAACGAUACAGAAAAAAAAUCAACAAAACACAGACACACAUACAUACAUAUAUCGUAUAUCGUAUAUAUAUAUAAAUAUAAAGAUAAAUAAAUAAAAGGAGAAACAUGAAAGGCAAAUACACGGUAGUCAAAGAAAUAAAUAAAAAUAAAAUCAAACAAAUAAACGAACAAAAUGCAAACAUCGUGUGCCCGCAGGAAAAACUGUAGUAUGCCUCACUCGUAUUUAUUUAUCCACUUAACGUCCUUUUUAAUUACACACACACACACACACACAGACGCACUAUCCAUGGCAGCAAAUCCUAUAAAAAUUCUCGAAAAUUAAUUAAAGUUGUCUUUGGGUGCAGGCAGCAUCAACUUAAUUGCAAUUAGGUGAAUGCCAUGCCCCCAAGCCCACACAUGCAGAUACCCACCCACACAAUGCAAUCAAACUGGCAUUAAUUAUGGCUUCAAGGCUGUCACCGUCACCCCAUUCCGAAUGAUGCCAGGUAGGAAAACAAACCCCAAUCGAAGCCCAAUCAAAACCCCAAUCGAAGUCGAACCGCAAGCAGCUGGUGCGCCAAAAGAGAACAGAAAAUAAAUGCCCAUAUCGAAAUAAAUAUCUGCGGUCGCACUUAACGGGUGUCGAGACAAUUAACACAUUUCCCGUGUAUCCAUCAAAUGCCUGCGGUUCGGUAGCCACACAGCCCCCCAGCCACACACUGCGGUUAACCGCCCAACACUUAUCCCUCAGAGUUUUAUUUCAACACUGUAACGAACAGAGAGGCCCCACAGGAGUGAGGGCCAUGACAUUUUGCUAGCUGUAAGCCUAUAACCAUAUAGAGACCAUAGUGAGUACUUACAAAACGAAAUCAAAAUACAUUUCUAAGCUCUCCAAGUGUUUUUCAUAAGCUCGAUUAACGUAUACAUACAAUACAUGUAAUUAUCAGCAAACCCAAAUCUACAUAUUUGUAAAUAAGUACUCGUGUACGUGCAAUUGGCAAUUGCACUCGCCCCCCUCCCCGAAAGGAGAAUAUUGUGGGCGGGCAUACAUUUUAAAGAUCGACACAGACACAGACACAGACACCGACACGGUCGAGGUACCCAUGAUAUAGCAAAGAUGUAGUCAUUAAGUACCAACUAAUACGAAAACCAAAUACUUAAAAAUAUAUUGUAAACAAAAAACUAAAAAACAAAAACUAUGUGACAACUUUAACUGACAAAUUUAUUGCAUUACAUACAAUAAAAUAAUUAAAUUACUACAUUAUUAAUACAUUA